AUUGAACGCUGGCGGCAGGCCUAACACAUGCAAGUCGAACGAGUGGCGGACGGGUGAGUAAUGUCUGGGAAACUGCCCGAUGGAGGGGGAUAACUACUGGAAACGGUAGCUAAUACCGCAUACCAUCGGAUGUGCCCAGCUGGGAUUAGCUGGUAGGUGGGGUAACGGCUCACCUAGGCGACGAUCCCUAGCUGGUCUGAGAGGAUGACCAGCCAAACUGGAACUGAGACACUGUCCAGACUCCUACGGGAGGCAGCAGUGGGGAAUAUUGCACAAUGGGCGCAAGUCGGAGGCAGCCAUGCCGCGGGUACGAAGAAGGCCUUCGGGUUGUAAAGUACUUUCAGUGAGGAGGCGUUACUCGCAGAAGAAGCACCGGCUAACUCCGUGCCAGCAGCCGCGGUAAUAC
rnacentral:rRNA from 1 species